CUAAUACAGCAGCAAUUGGCUUGCAAAUAAUUGAUAUGGAAAAAGUAAUUCCAGUGUCCAUUAACUUAAUAUUACUUAAUUAUACCCUAAGUAAUAGGGUAUAUCCAUUUUCUUUCCUUGCUCUUGUGAUUGAGAGAAUCACAGAACAGUUCUCAGUUACUUGAGAGUUACUCGGAGUCCUGCAAGUCAUGGGAGUGAAGGAACCAAGGCAGCAGCUCAAUUCCAUUGUAGUAAAGCUCUCUUUAAAGGAAAGCUACAUCUGCUUAUUGUCUAUCACAUUAAAAAGGAAGCACUGCAUUUUAAUUUUCUUGUUAUAUUACAGU